ensembl:antisense predicted gene 16035
CCUACUCCUAGACCACAUCUACCUUAGCAGAGGAGAGCAUUCUGUGCAGCCUUGGGGCGAGUGGGAGAGACACUCGGGAGUCAGCAGAGCUUGACCACAGAAGGGAGAGGAAACAGAAGAAUGGCCGAGAACAGGAGGCAGUCUGCAGAGCUCGCUACAGCCAGAGACUCUCCAGGGGCAGUAUUCAAGAGGCCUUGAAGGCAUCCCCACACCCAAACAAAACAGCAUCUUAAAGCAGACCAUCAUGUGGGAGUGGAGUGGAGAGUGCUGUUUAACAGUAUGAAGAUGUGUGCAGUCUUGGUGAAGAACACCAUCAUGAAACUGAGCAGGAAGGAUCACAGUAAUCAGAAGCAGAAGGGUCAGUAUAUAUUAACUGAUUUUGUUUUAAUGUCAUGAGAAAGAAAGCCAACUCCU